rnacentral:lncRNA from 1 species
CCCCCGCAGUUCCGCUCCGCCGCCGCCGCCCCCCCCCCACUUCCGUCCCCAUCUUCGGCCACCUCCUGCCCUACCUGCAGCUACAGGCCCCCCAUCUGUACCCGUACCCCAUGGGCGCUUCGGUGCCGCAGGGGAAGUUCCGACCCGCCAAAGGUUCUCUGCCCCCCCGCUCGGAGGCGCCCCCCCUUCUUCCGGCCGCCCCCCCCCGCCGCCCCAUUGGUGGCUGCCCCCUAUUCGUCCUAUGUGCCCUAUGGACCCCCCCUGGUGCCCCCCGUGGGGCAUUACCCCCCCCAGCCCCCCGCGGGUUUCCACGUGGCCACGCCCCCAGGGGGAGGGGCCCAAUCACCUCCGGGCUCUUUGGCUCCACCCACCGGAGCUCCGCCCCCUCCGGCCCCGCCCCCUCCGGCCGCGGCUCCGCCCACCGCCAUAUAUGGACUGCAGCAGCCCCUCCCCCACGGCUAUGGGGGCGUCGCCCAUGUGGGGCAGCCCCACGUCCCCCCCCCCCACGGAGCCGCCCCCCCCCCCCCGUGAUGCUGCUGCCUCCUCCGGGUCCCCCCCCC